CCGUGAGGAUUCGUCCUCAUUGAGAUAGCACCCUUUGUUUAUGAGCACCAUUUGUUUCCUCGGCGGGCCUGCCCGCCGCUAGGACCUCUAUUAAACCUUUAUAGUAGUAGUACCCUCAGUAAAAUAAACAAAAUAUUA
rnacentral:misc_RNA from 1 species